rnacentral:lncRNA from 1 species
UGAACGCCGCCUUCUGUGUGCCGCGCUUGUGCUGUCACCCAAAACCCAUCAUUGAAACACAUGUCCUUAAAUCCUUUGCUGGUACUCUUGGCUUUUGUCCCUGCCCUUGCAGUAGCCGCCCUAUCCUGCCUGGGUUUUCAUCUUUCCCUACCGCCUCUUUCUCCAAAAAUCCACGAUUUGUCUGUUUUCUAAGCUUGGCUUCUGUUUGAAAUCAACUGCAAGCCUUUAAAAAUAUCUAUGGGUUCCAUCCACUUCCAUAGAUUCAGGAGCAAUUGGUCUUUCGUGAUGUCUGGGCUUCGAAAGGUUCUCUGCGUGUGUUUAUUUUUGCUUUUUGUUUAGUAACCUAGCGAUUCUCACGCACAACUCACGAAGAAAUUCACUGUUAAAAGCGUCUAUUUUUGUGACCCUACCUAAACAUCGUUUUGCAGCUUCAUCUCUCGCAGAUGUGACAGAUGCUCAUGCUGAACCUAAGUCCCAUGGAAACUAUCCCAGCUGAAUGGCUGUGCUAUCCUGCCUUCCCAGUAUCACAAAGUAUUUUGGAUCCAGCCAUGCCACUGUGAACAUUUCUUCUUUCAUGGGAGAGGAUGAGGAUCAGUAGCAGGCUCCCAUUGAUAACGUUAAGUGCUACCAAACACAGGACUCAGGCUGAUAGGUAGAAUGAUGUCAGCUGAGACAUGCACGUGCUGAGGCAAGACAAGUGGCGAGGCAAGCCACAUGGAGAACACCGAUGUUUGGAGGGAGUAUGAAGAGGACUCCAUGGACACACACGGCUGAGCUUGGCUUGCUUACAGAGCUGCGCAGCUACCUAGCAGUGACAGCCAGGACUCAGCAGGAGGGACCAGCAGGAGUGCCAGCCUCUCUCAGAUCUUGUGUUAGCACCCAUCUUGCCCCAGCAUGUUCAUCUGACGCAGCUGACAUCACUCUGCCAAUCAGCCUGAGUCCGUGGAAGCAGCAAGGAAGUGCAGCACACCACCAGAAGGGUUUUGGUGCAUUUCUGUCUAUGGAGUCCAGACAAAUGGAGCUCAGCUACGCAAUGAAGGGGGACCAAUACAUGUGUGUAUUUAGCAAAGAAUCCCUUAUCACAUGUC